AGAGUUUGAUCCUGGCUCAGAAUGAACGCUGGCGGCGUGCUUAACACAUGCAAGUCGAGCGAGAAAGUCUCUUCGGAGAUGAGUAAAGCGGCAGACGGGUGAGUAACGCGUGAGAAUCUACCCUUUGGUGAGGAAUACCACCGAGAAAUCGGUGUUAAUACUGCAUAAGUCUCCUCGGAGAGAAAGAUGGCCUCUUUGCUGUCGCCAAAGGUUGAGCUUACGUACUAUUAGCUAGUUGGUGGGGUAAAGGCCUACCAAGGCGAUGAUGGUUAACCGGCCUGAGAGGGUGUACGGUCACACUGGAACUGAGACACGGUCCAGACUCCUACGGGAGGCAGCAGUGGGGAAUAUUGCGCAAUGGGCGAAAGCCUGACGCAGCGACGCCGCGUGGAGGAUGAAGGUCUUCGGAUUGUAAACUUCUGUUAAGUGGGAAGAAAUAAUCAUCCUUAAUAGGGAUGGGAGAUGACGGUACCAUUAGAGAAAGCACCGGCUAAACUCGUGCCAGCAGCCGCGGUAAUACGAGUGGUGCGAGCGUUAUUCGGAAUCAUUGGGCGUAAAGGGUGCGUAGACGGUAUAUUAAGUCGACUGUAUAAUUCUCCAGCCUAACUGGAGGCUCGCGGUUGAUACUGAUGUGCUUGAGGGCGUAAGAGAGAAGCGGAAUUCUCGGAGUAGCGGUAAAAUGCGUAGAUCUCGAGAGGAACACCAAUGGCGAAGGCAGCUUCUUAGUACGUUUCUGACGUUGAGGCACGAAAGCGUGGGGAGCAAACAGGAUUAGAUACCCUAGUAGUCC
rnacentral:rRNA from 1 species